rnacentral:tRNA from 1 species
UUUGAGUAGUUUAUUUAGAAUUAUAAUUUGUGGUGUUAUAGGUGAGAUUUUUCCUCAAAUC